rnacentral:rRNA from 1 species
AUUGAACGCUGGCGGCAGGCCUAACACAUGCAAGUCGAACGGUAACAGGAAGCAUCCUUCUGCUUCGCUGACGAGUGGCGGACGGGUGAGUAAUGUCUGGUAAGCUGCCUGAUUUAGGGGGAUAACUACUGGAAACGUUAGCUAAUACCGCAUAAUUUCGCAAGACCAAAGAGGGGGACCUUCGUUCCUCUUGCCAUCGGAUGUGCCCAGAUGGGAUUGUCUUGUUGGUUGGGUAACGGCUCACCAAGGCGACGAUCCCUAGCUGAUCUGAGAGGAUGACCAGCGAAACUGGAACUGAGACACGGUACAGACUCCGAGGGGAGGCAGAAGUGGGGAAGAUUGCACAAUGGGCGGAAGAAUGAUGAAGGCAUGCAGCGUGGAGGAAGAAGGCCUUCGGGUUGUAAAGUACUUUCAGCGGGGAGGAAGGGAGUAAAGUUAAUACCUUUGCUCAUUGACGUUACCCGCAGAAGAAGCACCGGCUAACUACGUG